UUAACAUAAAUUAAUAAAGGUUUAGCGAACGAUCGAAAAAUCAGUUAUUUCUAGGUUUAUAUAUAUCAUAUAGGUGUAUAUAAAGAAUUGAUAUUUUAUUCCGUUUAUUUGCCCUAAAACACCCCACCCUAGGGUGCAUAUUCUGAAACGCGUGCCCAUCAGCUAUCCACCCCAUCAAACUAAAAUUAUUUUUAUUCUAAUUCUAAUUUUUUCUAAUUUUUCAAUCCGGGGUGGUGGAUAAAUAGAAUAUACGUUUCAUGUUAGAAUCUUUAACAACAUGUAUUUGUGAUAACUUAUUGAGAGACACUUAGUUCGAGUGGACUUUCUAUUUUCCUUUUUUUCGUAAGCAUGUGAGUUUCCCAAAAUAUACUCUGAUAUUUCAGACAAAUAAGACAUUGCUGUGAUGAAAAAUUUCUUAUUGUAAGUUGAUAUGGUUUUUUUAGCAAAAGAGCGGCUCCCCACCGAACUUUUCGGGAAAUUUCCCGAAGUUGAAUAUACUAAAAAGUAUGACAUAGAAUAAGACUAAAAAGUCUAAAAUCAGACCACUGCCUACUAAGAACUGUUUCUUGACAAUAAUAGCCAGUAUUCAGAGUCCAAAUGACUACACUGUUAUUUUGUGUCUGCAUUUAAUUGAUCAGCCAGUCUGCAAAAGAAGGAAGUGCCUUUAAAUUAUUAUUACUUACAUAAAAUGAAAAAGCUCAUUCCUCCUAACUAAACCGAGCCAACGUAAAAUACUCUACUGCCCGAGCUUUCCUUUAUUUAAAAAAAGCAUUUUCCAUCCGCGUGGAGCCGUGAGCACUCACAGUAGGUAUAAAGAUAAUAGUGCAGACUUUCAAAAAUCCCUCAAGCUUAGAAUGUAAUUAUAAAAAUGUCUAGUUUCCAUUGAUAUAUAAGUAUAUAAGUCUAUGUUAGUUUCACCUUUUUUUUUGCAACGUCGGAAACCCACGAAAAAGAAAACUAGAAACAUUUGCUUUAAAAAAUAUUCAUAACUAAAAAAAGUAUUAGAGAUAUCCUGAUAUAGUAAUUAUAAUAAAAAUGGUUGUACUCAUGUCGCGUUUUCUUGGGAUGUGCCUAAUUUUGAAAAAAAACCUCUUUAUAAACUCACGUUGCGUAGGGUGAUUGUGGUACAUUUCUUGACCCAAAAAAAAAAAUAAUUUUAACGAUGACAAGUUUACCCUGACAGCGAGUUCACCUAGUGGUAAGUGAUGAUGCAGUUUAAAAUUGAAAUGGGUAAUCUAGACGGAGUAGCUACAAUUUGAUUUGACACAACACGUAGUUUAGUCGCAAAUUCAGAAAACACAUUAGCAAAUUAACAGAAUUGCGAAUACGAACGUUAAAAGUAUCACAAUAACAUUUCAAAACAAACAAUAACUAUAAAUUUCACAAUAUGUAUGUGUUUUCAUGCCCGAACCAUUAAACAGUUGCAAAAUGCAAAUAUUCUGUUAGUAAUAUUGGCA